UCUAUUUAGAGGAACUUGUUUCUUAAUCGAUAAUCCCCGUUUUAUCUUACUUAGUUUUGUAUUGACAGUUUGUAUAUCGCCGUUAUAAGUUUAUUUUUUAAGAAUUUAAAUUUACUUGAUAUUUUAUUUUAUAUUAUUUCAGGUCAAGGUGCAGCUUAUAAUUAAGUGUUGAUGAGUUACAAUAUUAUUUAAUUAGAACGGAUUUUUAAUUUAAAUUUUGAUUGAAGGUGGAUUUAAUAGUAAUUUUAAUUAUAAUGUUAAUUUGAUUUUAAGCUCUAAAAUAAGUACACAUCGCCCGUCG
rnacentral:rRNA from 1 species